CCUACGGGAGGCAGCAGUAGGGAAUCUUCCACAAUGGACGAAAGUCUGAUGGAGCAACGCCGCGUGAGUGAUGAAGGUUUUCGGAUCGUAAAACUCUGUUGUAAGGGAAGAACAAGUACGAGAGGGAAUGCUCGUACCUUGACGGUACCUUGCGAGAAAGCCACGGCUAACUACGUGCCAGCAGCCGCGGUAAUACGUAGGUGGCAAGCGUUGUCCGGAAUUAUUGGGCGUAAAGCGCGCGCAGGCGGCCUUUUAAGUCUGAUGUGAAAGCCCCCGGCUCAACCGGGGAGGGUCAUUGGAAACUGGAAGGCUUGAGUACAGAAGAGAAGAGUGGAAUUCCAUGUGUAGCGGUGAAAUGCGUAGAGAUGUGGAGGAACACCAGUGGCGAAGGCGACUCUUUGGUCUGUAGCUGACGCUGAGGCGCGAAAGCGUGGGGAGCAAACAGGAUUAGAUACCCUGGUAGUCCACGCCGUAAACGAUGAGUGCUAGGUGGUUUCGGGGGUUUCCCGCCCCGUUCGUCGUGUCGUGAGACGUACGUACAUUAAGACACCUCCGUCCGUCGGGGUACGGUACGGCCGGCCGACGGACGUACGUAACGUACGAACGUAGUAGUUAGUACGGCGUGAGACGUACGACCGACGGACGACGACGAGGGAGGAGG
rnacentral:rRNA from 1 species